rnacentral:rRNA from 2 species
ACCCUUUAAUGUUUGAUGUUCUAACGUGGACCCGUGAUCCGGGUUGCGGACAGUGUCUGGUGGGUAGUUUGACUGGGGCGGUCUCCUCCUAAAGAGUAACGGAGGAGCACGAAGGUUGGCUAAUCCUGGUCGGACAUCAGGAGGUUAGUGCAAUGGCAUAAGCCAGCUUGACUGCGAGCGUGACGGCGCGAGCAGGUGCGAAAGCAGGUCAUAGUGAUCCGGUGGUUCUGAAUGGAAGGGCCAUCGCUCAACGGAUAAAAGGUACUCCGGGGAUAACAGGCUGAUACCGCCCAAGAGUUCAUAUCGACGGCGGUGUUUGGCACCUCGAUGUCGGCUCAUCACAUCCUGGGGCUGAAGUAGGUCCCAAGGGUAUGGCUGUUCGCCAUUUAAAGUGGUACGCGAGCUGGGUUUAGAACGUCGUGAGACAGUUCGGUCCCUAUCUGCCGUGGGCGCUGGAGAACUGAGGGGGGCUGCUCCUAGU